rnacentral:rRNA from 1 species
GUGCCAGCCGCCGCGGUAAUACAUAGGGGUCAAGCGUUGUCCGGAUUUAUUGGGCGUAGAGAGCUCGUAGGCGGUUCAACAAGUCGGUCGUAAAAGUUUAGGGCUCAACCCUAAAAUGUCGAUCGAUACUGUUGUGACUAGGAUACGGUAGAGGUGAAUGGAAUUCCGAGUGUAGCGGUGAAAUGCGUAGAUAUUCGGAGGAACACCGAUAGCGAAGGCAGCUUACUAUGUUAGUAUUGACGCUAAUGCACGAAAGCGUGGGGAGCGAACAGGAUUAGAUA